UACGGGGGGGGGCACGCGUUGUUCGGAAUUACUGGGCGUAAAGGGCUCGUAGGCGGCCAACUAAGUCAGACGUGAAAUCCCUCGGCUUAACCGGGGAACUGCGUCUGAUACUGGAUGGCUUGAGGUUGGGAGAGGGAUGCGGAAUUCCAGGUGUAGCGGUGAAAUGCGUAGAUAUCUGGAGGAACACCGGUGGCGAAGGCGGCAUCCUGGACCAAUUCUGACGCUGAGUGAGCGAAAGCCAGGGGAGCAAACGGG
rnacentral:rRNA from 1 species